GUCCCCGUAGCUCAGCUGGAUAGAGUACUGGCCUCCGGAGCCGGGAGCACAGGUUCGAAUCCUGUCGGGGACGCCA
rnacentral:tRNA from 1 species